rnacentral:rRNA from 1 species
UACAGAGGGUGCGAGCGUUAAUCGGAUUUACUGGGCGUAAAGCGUGCGUAGGCGGCUUUUUAAGUCGGAUGUGUAAUCCCUGAGCUUAACUUAGGAAUUGCAUUCGAUACUGGGAAGCUAGAGUAUGGGAGAGGAUGGUAGAAUUCCAGGUGUAGCGGUGAAAUGCGUAGAGAUCUGGAGGAAUACUGAUGGCGAAGGCAGCCAUCUGGCCUAAUACUGACGCUGGGGUACGAAGGCAUGGGGAGCAAACAGG